GUUGUGCAUGCAUAGAGAACUCCGC
rnacentral:piRNA from 1 species